rnacentral:rRNA from 1 species
GGGUCGUGCCGACAGAUAUGGUGCUUGCUCCUUUGCCGUCAACGGCGGCGGCGCGGUUACAUGUGUAAGACCUACCUAUAAGACUGGGACUUUUCGCCAUACCGGAGCUAAUACCGUAUGGAUUUGCAACGCAUGGUUCUGUGUGAAAGAUGGUUUUGCUAUCACUUAUCGUGUUCCCGCGCGUCCGCCGCUAGUUGGUAAGGAGCGGCUUAUUAUCUGUUCGCUAGACUUGCGUGCUGAAAGGACGCUGGGAGCGACUGUCACUGACCCUUGUUCAACUCUUCAACGGGAGGCAGCAGUAGGGAAUCUUCCGCAAUGGGCGAAAGCCUGACGGAGCAACGCCGCGUGAGUGAUGAAGGGUUUCGGCUCGUAAAACUCUGUUAUUAGGGAAGAACAAAUGUGUAAGUAACUGUGCACGUCUUGACGGUACCUAAUCAGAAAGCCACGGCUAACUACGUGCCAGCAGCCGCGGUAAUACGUAGGUGGCAAGCGUUAUCCGGAAUUAUUGGGCGUAAAGCGCGCGUAGGCGGUUUCUUAAGUCUGAUGUGAAAGCCCACGGCUCAACCGUGGAGGGUCAUUGGAAACUGGGAAACUUGAGUGCAGAAGAGGAAAGUGGAAUUCCAUGUGUAGCGGUGAAAUGCGCAGAGAUAUGGAGGAACACCAGUGGCGAAGGCGACUUUCUGGUCUGUAACUGACGCUGAUGUGCGAAAGCGUGGGGGAUCAAACAGGAUUAGAUACCCUGGUAGUCCACGCCGUAAACGAUGAGUGCUAAGUGUUAGGGGGUUUCCGCCCCUUAGUGCUGCAGCUAACGCA